rnacentral:rRNA from 1 species
AACGAACGCUGGCGGCGUGCUUAACACAUGCAAGUCGAGCGGGAAAGUUUCCUUCGGGAAGCGAGUACAGCGGCAGACGGGUGAGUACGACGUAGGUAACCUACCCUCGAGACUGGGAUAACCUGUCGAAAGACGGGCUAAUACCGGAUAAGACCACAAGGGCUGCGGCCUUUGAGGUAGAAGAUGGCCUCUGCUUGCAAGCUAUCACUUGGGGAUGGGCCCGCGCGCCAUUAGCAGUUGGUGAGGUAACGGUC